CCCUUAGAUGUUCUGGGCCGCACGCGCGCUACACUGACUACUUCAACGAGUUGUUUCCUUGAUCGAAAGGUCUGGGUAAUCUUUGAAAGGUAGUCGUGAUGGGGAUAGAUCCUUGCAAUUUUUGAUCUUCAACGAGGAAUUCCUAGUAAACGCAAGUCAUCAGCUUGCAUUGAUUACGUCCCUGCCCUUUGUACACACCGCCCGUCGCUCCUACCGAUUGAGUGUGUUGGUGAGGAGUUCGGAUUGGCAGCAGGUGGUGGUUCGCCACCGCCUAUUGCUGAGAAGUUCUCCAAACCGCCCCACUUAGAGGAAGGAGAAGUCGUAACA
rnacentral:rRNA from 1 species